rnacentral:lncRNA from 1 species
GAUCCAGAUAAUCCAUAUGAUGGAUUUGAAAAAGAUUGAAAUACAAUAUAGAUGACUUAUCUAGGAUUGAUAGUUAAAUCCUAGAUCAUCCUCGAGCAUUAGGGUCAAAGGGAUGAAUUAUACGGUAACCAUACGCCAAUAGGUUCUUGAAUGUUGCUUCGCCAUCAUUCGACCUAUCUGGAUGUUGGGUCAUCAUUGCUAGAUGGUUACGUCGAUU